AUUGCCAUACAAGCCACACUAGCUGGUAAAUGUGGCCAUUAUGUUGCCAGUGGUCAACAAAAUCCAUUUUUUAAGAGCAUAGAAGCCAAGCACUGGCUAAGAGUCAGUGUUCUUCCUUUCUAAGACUUUUAUUUUUCUACUUUUUAUUUUGGGGAAUGAGUGAAGAGAGGGUUGUAAGUUGUGCAGAUGCUAUAGAAGAAGAUGCAAAUGCUGCUGGAGAAGAGCACCCUUCUAGGUGUUUCCAAGCCUCAGCCUUAUGUUGCUGCAUCCCUAGAAGGCGGUUGUACUUGCCAGGGAGGAGACCCAAGGACAGAAAGAAGAAAAACGAGAAAAAGAAUUAUCCUGAAGAUCUAUCCUGUGAUGUCACCAUUUUUGAGCAAAGAGAUCAGAACAUGGGCCAAGACUAUUGGAAGAUGACACCUGCAGGUGACUUGGGUGUACAAACAGAGGCUAUCAAGCCAGCUUUGGCAGUAUGUACCCAGCCCUAUGACAGAAAAAUUCAAGAUCCCCAUAUACCUAUGCCUUUAAGUGAUAUAUUUUUGGAAGAAAAGCAAGGAGAAUGUGAUGAAAAAACAAGUGCAAAUACUUUCCAAACGCCACAACAAAAGGAGGGAUCAGAUAAUAUGAGUGUGUUAUCUUUGGAAAAGGUAAAGAAAAAGGUAGUGGGUGCAAAAUUAGAGGGUGAUCCCUCUGAAGAAGGGAAGGAGUAUCUAAUUAUGGCAGCUGAAGAAAGCAGACAACAUAGAAAAUCUGAAUUGCUGAGUGCAGUGCUCCAAGAAGUAACCGAUGAAAAGGAACAACAAAAAGAAAGAGGUCAUACAGGGAUUAUAUUGGAAGGUUUGCCCUGUAAGAAGGACCAGAAGCGGAGUCACCAAGAUGUGCCAUUUCAGGAGCUGCAGCAGACUAGAGAACUAGAACCAAACAGUACAUUGACUGCCAGUGAAAACAAAACUCAAGAGGAACAAAACACAAGUAUUGAUUCCAAGGGCACAACUUCUUUGCAGGAACUGUUCAACCAACCAGCUGUACCAUGCAAUGAGAAACAGCAGGUUGGGAGGCAACAACAACAUGGUAUGGGUAUCACCCAUAACAUGGAGAAACCAGUGUUCUGGAGUCAAAUAAAUCCUGUAUCUAAAGGAGAUGUUCACAAGGAGGAGCAGGCUUACAAAGCUAACCAGGAGGUACAGCAGCCUGUGGAACAAAAAUACCCAGAUAUUUUGUCUACCAUGUGUGGAAAUGAUGAACAAGAACAGCCAGAAGUACAACAGCUUUUAGAUUUUGUAAGAGAAACCUCCUCCAAUGAGAUAAACUUGUUUGACCAAGAAGACCAACUGCCUAUUUUACCCAAAGCUAUGAGCUUUCCAUUGGAGGACACAACCUGUGAGAAGGAACAGGAAGACACACAAGCUUUCAGAAGCUCAACAUUAGAGAGCUUUCUCAGCAUGUCAGAAGAUCAUCAGUAUGUUCCCCACCAGAUGGAUCUACAAGCUGUUGCAAAAGAAAACAUAACCACAUUGCCCCUGGGUGUAGCUUGCACAAUGGAUCUGCAAAAACUAGCAUAUAUAAACAGUUUGCCUCAGGAUGUUGUUCCUCAUGUUGCAAAGCAAAAACACUCAGAUGCACAGCAGCUUCUUUUACUGGAACAAAUUAGCACACACCAUGAUGAAAAGGAAAUGCAAGAAGGUCUAGAUUAUGCACAUUCCGGAUGUAAGGGCACUGCCUAUACUGAAGAACAGGAGAAGCAAAAGCUCAAUGCAUCAGAACAUACUCCUACACUUCCUGACAACCUAAGCUAUGAGAAAGAACAGCAAAGAAAAUUGGACUGUGGGGAUUCUGGGUCUGAGGGCACCUAUGACAAGGAGGACCAGGACCAUCAGGGUACUCUUUACUUAGAAGUGCAACGGCCUCUAGGACUUGCAAAGCUGAGCUCUUUGCCUCUGAGUGGGACCUCUGAAGAACUGUGUGUAAGAAAGGACAACCUAUACACUGGCAUUCUUGAAAUACCCUCCCUGAAUGAAGAGCAAGAAGCUGAGGACGAUGAGAGCAAGGUGCAUAUGCUUGCUUCCUGUAAAGACAACGCAACAGCGCAGGAACAAGAAGAACAACCACUUCCUAUGCUCCCACAGGCAGGAUGCAACACAGAAGGGGAGCAACUGGAGACGUGGCAUAUCCAGAAGACAACAUCCAUACCGUAUGAGGAGCAGCAGGAAAGGGAACAACUGAACCUGGGCAUGACCUGUGAGGAGCAUCAGAAGAAGGGAAAAUGGGGUCUGUCAAGCACCACAUUCCCUUCUACUACUAAGGAGGAUGAGGGGCAUAUGUAAGGUGAUCAUUUCCUUCAUUUGAGGCAAAAUCCUCAAAAUUACCACUUUUGCUGUCUCAGAAACUACCUCCACUGAAAUAUGGAAGCUGAAGAGAGAUUACUUCUUUUUAAGUUUUG
rnacentral:lncRNA from 1 species